GGGUACGACAUACUUGGCGAAUGCACGGCAUCCGUCCGAUUGCGAAGUUAACGGCACAGGCCCGUUAUAACGCGAUCAUGAUGGCGCGGAACCCUGGUGCGUACCUCC
rnacentral:rRNA from 1 species